GGUAACAUGGCCGAGCGAGGCAGUGGGCUGUAGAUCCACGCACAGGGGAAGAAACCCCUUGGUACCA
rnacentral:tRNA from 1 species